UUCCGGUUGAUCCUGCCGGAGGCUACCGCUAUUGGAGUUCGAUUAAGCCAUGCGAGUCGCGAGUCUUAGGGACUCGGCGUACCGCUCAGUAACACGUGGGUAACCUGCCCUAUGCUGGGGGAUAACCUCGGGAAACUGAGAAUAAUACCCCAUAGUUCACCACGCCUGGAACGGUGGGUGGACCAAAGCUCCGGCGGCAUAGGAUGGGCCUGCGGCGUAUCAGGUUGUAGGGGGUGUAAUGUACCCUCUAGCCCUCUACGCGUACGGGUGUUGAGAGACAUCGCCCGGAGAUGGAUUCUGAGACACGAAUCCAGACCCCACGGGGUGCAGCAGGCGCGAAAACUUGGCAAUGCGAGAAAUCGUGACCAGGGAACUCCAAGUGCAUCGGGUAAGACCGAUGCUUUUCUUGACUCUUCAAAGGUCUUGGAAUAAGGGGUGGGUAAGGACGGUGCCAGCCGCCGCGGUAAUACCGGCGCCCCAAGUGGUAGUCGCUUUUAUUGGGCCUAAAACGUCCGUAGCCGGUCUGGUACAUUCGUGGGUAAAUCAACCAGCUCAACUGGUUGAAUUCUGCGAGCACGGCCAGACUUGGGACCGGGAGAGGUGUGGGGUACUCUCAGGGUAGGGGUAAAAUCCUGUCAUCCUGAGAGGACCACCUGUUGCGAAGGCGCCACACUAGAACGGAUCCGACGGUCAGGGACGAAGCCUAGGGGCACGAACCGGAUUAGAUACCCGGGUAGUCCUAGGUGUAAACGCUGUGGACUUGAUGUUGGGGGCGCUCCGAGCGCACUCAGUGUCGAAGCGAAGGUGAUAAGUCCACUGCCUGGGGAGUACGGUCGCAAGGCUGAAACUUAAAGGAAUUGGCGGGGGAGCACCGCAACCUGAGGAUUGUGCGGUUUAAUUGGAUUCAACGCCGG
rnacentral:rRNA from 1 species